AUUGAACGCUGGCGGCAGGCCUAACACAUGCAAGUCGAGCGAGCGGCGGACGGGUGAGUAAUGUCUGGGAAACUGCCUGAUGGAGGGGGAUAACUACUGGAAACGGUAGCUAAUACAGCAUACCAUCAGAUGUGCCCCGAUGGGAUUAGCGAGUGGGUGGGGUAACGGCUCACCUGGGCGACGAUCCCUAGCGGGUCUGGGAGGAUGACCAGCCACACUGGAACGUAGACACGGUCCAGACUCCUACGGGAGGGAGCAGUGGGGAAUAUUGCACAAUGGGGGCAAGCCUGAGGCAGCCAUGCCGCGUGUGUGACGAAGGCCUUCGGGUUGUAAAGCACUUUCAGCGGGGAGGCGUUACCCGCAGAAGAAGCACCGGCUAACUCCGUGCCAGCCGCCGCGGUAAUAC
rnacentral:rRNA from 1 species